rnacentral:rRNA from 1 species
UACGGAGGAUCCAAGCGUUAAUCCGGAUUCAUUCGGGUUUAAAGGGUGGUACGGUAGGCGGAAUGAUGAAGUCAGUGGUGAAAUCCUUCAGCUUAACUGGAGAACUGCCAUUGAUACUGUCAAUCUUGAGUACAUUUGAUGUGGGCGGUAAUGUGUUCAUGUGAGCGGUGAAAUGCUUAGAGUAUGAACACAGAAUCACCGAUUGCGAAGG